rnacentral:rRNA from 1 species
GACGAACGCUGGCGGCGUGCCUAAUACAUGCAAGUAGGACGCAGUUGCGAACGGGUGAGUAACGCGUAGGUAACUACCUAUUAGUGGGGGCUAACUAUUGGAAACGAUAGCUAAUACCGCAUACUAGUAGAUGGACCUGCGUUGUAUUAGCUAGUAGGUAGGGUAAUGGCCUACCUAGGCAACGAGACAUAGCCGACCUGGGAGGGUGAUCGGCCACACCGGGAAUGGGACACGGCCCAGACUCCCACGGGAGGCAGCAGUAGGGGAACUUCGGCAAUUGGGGACACCCUGACCGAGCAACGCCGCGGGAGUGAAGAAGGGUUUCGGAUCUUAAAGCUCUGUUGUUAAGGAAGCGGUACUUAACCAGAAAGGGACGGCUAACUACGUGCCAGCAGCCGCGGUAAUUC